rnacentral:rRNA from 1 species
AGAGUUUGAUCAUGGCUCAGGACGAACGCUGGCGGCGUGCUUAACACAUGCAAGUCGAACGGAAAGGCCCUUCGGGGUACUCGAGUGGCGAACGGGUGAGUAACACGUGGGUGAUCUGCCCUGCACUUUGGGAUAAGCCUGGGAAACUGGGUCUAAUACCGAAUACACCCUUCUGGCUGCAUGGUCUGGGAGGGGAAAGCUUUUGCGGUGUGGGAUGGGCCCGCGGCCUAUCAGCUUGCUGGUGAGGUUACGGCUCACCAAGGCGACGACGGGUAGCCGGCCUGAGAGGGUGACCGGCCACACUGGGACUGAGAUACGGCCCAGACUCCUACGGGAGGCAGCAGUGGGGAAUAUUGCACAAUGGGCGCAAGCCUGAUGCAGCGACGCCGCGUGAGGGAUGACGGCCUUCGGGUUGUAAACCUCUUUCGCCAGGGACGAAGCGCAAGUGACGGUACCUGGAGAAGAAGGACCGGCCAACUACGUGCCAGCAGCCGCGGUAAUACGUAGGGUCCGAGCGUUGUCCGGAAUUACUGGGCGUAAAGAGCUCGUAGGUGGUUUGUCGCGUUGUUCGUGAAAACUCACAGCUCAACUGUGGGCGUGCGGGCGAUACGGGCAGACUGGAGUACUGCAGGGGAGACUGGAAUUCCUGGUGUAGCGGUGGAAUGCGCAGAUAUCAGGAGGAACACCGGUGGCGAAGGCGGGUCUCUGGGCAGUAACUGACGCUGAGGAGCGAAAGCGUGGGGAGCGAACAGGAUUAGAUACCCUGGUAGUCCACGCCGUAAACGGUGGGUACUAGGUGUGGGUUUCCUUCCUUGGGGAUCCGUGCCGUAGCUAACGCAUUAAGUACCCCGCCUGGGGGAGUACGGCCGCAAGGCUAAAACUCAAAGAAAUUGACGGGGGCCCGCACAAGCGGCGGAGCAUGUGGAUUAAUUCGAUGCAACGCGAAGAACCUUACCUGGGUUUGACAUGCACAGGACGUGCCUAGAGAUAGGUAUUCCCUUGUGGCCUGUGUGCAGGUGGUGCAUGGCUGUCGUCAGCUCGUGUCGUGAGAUGUUGGGUUAAGUCCCGCAACGAGCGCAACCCUUAUCUUAUGUUGCCAGCGCGUAAUGGCGGGGACUCGUGAGAGACUGCCGGGGUCAACUCGGAGGAAGGUGGGGAUGACGUCAAGUCAUCAUGCCCCUUAUGUCCAGGGCUUCACACAUGCUACAAUGGCCGGUACAAAGGGCUGCGAUGCCGUGAGGUGGAGCGAAUCCUUUCAAAGCCGGUCUCAGUUCGGAUCGGGGUCUGCAACUCGACCCCGUGAAGUCGGAGUCGCUAGUAAUCGCAGAUCAGCAACGCUGCGGUGAAUACGUUCCCGGGUCUUGUACACACCGCCCGU